rnacentral:rRNA from 1 species
GACGAACGCUGGCGGCGUGCUUAACACAUGCAAGUCGAACGGAAAGGCCCUGCUUUUGUGGGGUGCUCGAGUGGCGAACGGGUGAGUAACACGUGAGUAACCUGCCCUUGACUUUGGGAUAACGUCAGGAAACUGGGGCUAAUACCGGAUAGGAGCUCCUGCUGCAUGGUGGGGGUUGGAAAGUUUCGGCGGGUGGGGAUGGACUCGCGGCUUAUCAGCUUGUUGGUGGGGUAGUGGCUUACCAAGGCUUUGACGGGUAGCCGGCCUGAGAGGGUGACCGGCCACAUUAGGACUGAGGGACGGCGCAGACUCCUACGGGAGACAGCAGUGGGGAGUAUUACCCAAUGAUGGGAAGCCUGAUGCGGCGGCGCCGCGUGCGUGAUGACGUCCUUCGGGUUGUGAACCGCUUUCGCCUGUGACGAAGCGUGGGUGACGGUAAUGGGUAAAGAAGCACCGGCUAACUACGUG